rnacentral:rRNA from 1 species
AUUGAACGCUGGCGGAAUGCUUUACACAUGCAAGUCGAGCGGCAGCGCGGGGCAACCUGGCGGCGAGCGGCGAACGGGUGAGUAAUACAUCGGAACGUACCCAGUUGUGGGGGGAUAGCCCGGCGAAAGCCGGAUUAAUACCGCAUACGACCUGAGGGUGAAAGGGGGGGAUCGCAAGACCUCUCGCAGUUGGAGCGGCCGAUGGCGGAUUAGCUAGUUGGUAGGGUAAAGGCCUACCAAGGCGACGAUCCGUAGCUGGUCUGAGAGGACGACCAGCCACACUGGAACUGAGACACGGUCCAGACUCCUACGGGAGGCAGCAGUGGGGAAUUUUGGACAAUGGGGGCAACCCUGAUCCAGCCAUUCCGCGUGAGUGAAGAAGGCCUUCGGGUUGUAAAGCUCUUUCGGCAGGAACGAAACGGUGGUCCCUAAUACGGAUUGCUAAUGACGGUACCUGAAGAAGAAGCACCGGCUAACUACGUG